CAGCAGGUUAGCUUCACAGAGUCAUUUACCCCGGGAAGUGUGGAACAGAAGACAGGACUGUCCCUCAUCUCACAGGAACAAACUCAGCGAGUGUCACCGAGCCGGCGCUCUGGAACAAAGGUUUGGUUAACAAACUGUUUCCCACGAGUCUCUGACUGAACCUCUGAGGGCACACAGGUAACCCUGCAGGACGUCCUGCUCAGCUGGAUUCCCGUUUCCUCAAAGAGAGGGAGAGACUUCCUGUAAAUGAGAGGGGAGGAGCAAACAUGACUGAGAUACAUGAAAACAGGAAGUAACAGAGCUCAGGGUCUGUUUGGAGACAGCUGAGACAGGCUGCUGUGGAUCCUGGCCGGGACGUGUUUAAACUGGUCGGGCUGAUUUAAAGGAGGAAGUGCUGGAUGAUGUGACGAGUGUUAGUAUGAGAGUGAAAAUGGGUCAAAGUUCAUGAGGAACCAGGAUGAUUCUUCCCGGAAACAUCAGGACCAUCUGACCAACAGCUGUGCUGAGCUCAAAGUCAGAGUUCUGACUGUCAUCAGGUUUAAAUCAUUUACUGAAGGAGUAGAAAUGAUCAGUGAAAUUUAUAUUAAUGAUUUCCUGGUAUCUCCAGGCAUUGCUUCCUUGUCUCAUGAUCUUUAUAGAUCUUUGUCACUUGUUCCUCCAAAUAUUUUGAUUUAAACUGCCAUCACAUUUCAUUAUUCAUUAACUGAAGGUGCUGGAACAAACUGCAACACUUGUAAACAAAAGUUUGAGAUCAUCUACCAUAGAUAUUUUAUAAAGGAUCAAUAAUUGUCAUAAAACACUAUCUGCUGUUAUUAAGUCGGUAGUUUGAAUGAGGAGGAAGCUUCACAGCAGCUGUGUGUUUGUGGUGGACCUCUCAGACUGGCUGGACUCCAGAAGAAGAUGAUGGAGGAAGAGGAGGGCAGAGGAGAGUCUGCAGACCUCAGUCCUGGAGAGAAGAAGAUGAAGGAGCAGCUGUCCUGCUGUGCUUUGUGUCAGGACGUC